GUCAGGAUGGCCGAGCGGUCUAAGGCGCCAGACUCAAGAGUAAUAGCUCUUCCCAGCACUUGGGAGUUCUGGUCUCCGAAUGGAGGCGUGGGUUCAAAUCCCACUUCUGACA
rnacentral:tRNA from 1 species